UACGGGGGGGGCAAGCGUUGUUCGGAAUACUGGGCGUAAAGCGUGCGCAGGCGGUGAUGUAAGACCGAUGUGAAAUCCCCGGGCUUAACCUGGGAACUGCAUUGGUGACUGCAUCGCUCGAGUAUGGCAGAGGGGGGUAGAAUUCCACGUGUAGCAGUGAAAUGCGUAGAGAUGUGGAGGAAUACCGAUGGCGAAGGCAGCCCCCUGGGUCAAUACUGACGCUCAUGCACGAAAGCGUGGGGAGCAAACAGG
rnacentral:rRNA from 1 species